AGUGAACGCUGGCGGUAGGCCUAACACAUGCAAGUCGAACGGCAGCACAGUAAGAGCUUGCUCUUACGGGUGGCGAGUGGCGGACGGGUGAGGAAUACAUCGGCAUCUACUUUUUCGUGGGGGAUAACGUAGGGAAACUUACGCUAAUACCGCAUACGACCUACGGGUGAAAGCAGGGGAUCUUCGGACCUUGCGCGACUGAAUGAGCCGAUGUCGGAUUAGAUAGUUGGCGGGGUAAAGGCCCACCAAGGCGACGAUCCGUAGCUGGUCGGAGAGGAUGAUCAGCCACACUGGAACUGAGACACGGUCCAGACUCCUACGGGAGGCAGCAGUGGGGAAUAUUGGACAAUGGGCGCAAGCCUGAUCCAGCCAUACCGCGUGGGUGAAGAAGGCCUUCGGGUUGUAAAGCCCUUUUGUUGGGAAAGAAAAGCAGCAGGUUAAUACCCCGCUGUUCUGACGGUACCCAAAGAAUAAGCACCGGCUAACUUCGUG
rnacentral:rRNA from 1 species